CAGCAGCCGCGGGAAUACGUAGGGUGCAAGCGUUAAUCGGAAUUACUGGGCGUAAAGCGUGCGCAGGCGGUUAUAUAAGACAGAUGUGAAAUCCCCGGGCUCAACCUGGGAACUGCAUUUGUGACUGUAUAGCUAGAGUACGGCAGAGGGGGAUGGAAUUCCGCGUGUAGCAGUGAAAUGCGUAGAUAUGCGGAGGAACACCGAUGGCGAAGGCAGCCCCCUGGGCCAAUACUGACGCUCAUGCACGAAAGCGUGGGGAGCAAACAGGAUUAGAUACCCGAGUAGUCCCUGUCUCUUAUAA
rnacentral:rRNA from 1 species